UUCAAUAUAUAUAGUUUGUUAUGGUUGAUAUUCUUAUUCAUUGCUCACUUUGUUUUGACAGGAUUUAUGUACACUGAAAAUCUGAGACUGGAAUUGUUUAGAAUUCUAUAUUUAUGAAAGAAGCUCUUGAUUCCCAAUUAUGAUUUUAGAUGAUGAUGUGCCACAGCUGCAAAGAAAGCCUCUGUUUUGGAAGACUGACUGGAGUUUCAUUAAAUGCCCAGUUUCUACAAGUUUUAUGCUCUACUAAAUUCUUCAGGCCUUUUGUGUACUGAGAAUCUAAGAGUGGAGUCAUAUGUGCAUAGAUUGUUCCAAAGAAAUUAUUCAGCAAAUGGUGUGGUGUGCAUAAGAUACUUGAAUCAGUUUUUAUCAUACACUGAUUUAUACCAUCAACGAUCGCGAAUCUGACUUCCCUAUUAGAGUAAUGGCAGACAUUGUUAUGCACUCAGCUACCAAGUUCAUUGCUCGGCACAGUAAUGUGAUGGUAGGUGUACUGGCUGUAAGAGGGGAAAGGUUAUGCAUGGACUUUCUUUACUGUGAACUGUAAUGUUAUAAUUUAUAACUUCAGGCACUUAUUAUAAUUUUUUUUUCAGAUUAGCAAAAGAGUUGUACUUUCUACAAAAUGCAGAAGGGUCUGGGUUGGCUCCAUUUGAUUGUUGGCUCUGCUUUACGAAUUGAGAAGCAGCAGGGAGUGUGAAGUCUCUCAUAAGCCUACCCUGCUUCAUGUCUCAUGCUAGCAUACCAACUGAAAAAGGUUGAAUAAAACAGAAAAACAUUUAUACUCUACUGUCACAAAAAUGUACAAGACUAUUUCUGGAUGAGUUCUUUUUUCUAACUUUAUUUUUAGUUUUAUUGCAGAAAUUGGGCUAAACCUUAUAUUAAAGAUGCUAAAGAAGUUUCCAGGUGCAUUUUUAUUUUAUUGUUUUUCUUUAUGAUUUUGUUGUAUAAGAAGUCAAAGUGUGAUUCUGUUUUUAUUCUUUAAUUUUUUUGGGGAUAUAUUGACAGAAUUUAGAGUUCUGAAAUCAAUUCUUCCUCACAUACUUUUUGAUCAUUGAGAAUGAUAUAUUUGUUAUCUUGAUAAAUUUCACAAGCCUUGUUUUAAGUUGCAUGUUUUGUUGCUUCAGUCGUUGUUUUGCAUGGUAGUACAUCGUGCUAUACCCUGCUAUUUCGUCAAGUUUUGGAGUUAUUACAAAUUUAAUUUAAACUUUAUAUGCUUACAGGUGGAAACUAGCUUAAGUCUUAUGUUCUUAAUAAUAAAAGGACUUUUUUUUUUUUACAAUGUGCAAGUAUAUUGAUAUGAUUUCUGUGGAGCAAUUCUUGACAACAUUUGUAGUUGAGGCCUUUAGAAUGAAAGAAUGUAUUUCACUAAUUUUUGUAUACAUUUCUUGUUUUGUAUUUAGUGAUAAAGGAAUCUGAUUUGGGCAUAAAUUAUGUUGUAAUAUGAUUUCUUAAGCCUAGACUAGUAGACUAAAUAUUGUAAUUACAUUUGAGUAAUUAAUAAAAAUCUAUUUAUGUUA